GGACAACGAGACCUAGACCAACAACACAUAUCAUUACAGCGACACCGCAACCAUGUAACAUAACCUGUGUUGGCGAAUGUCUUGACCAGUGCGGUAGCCUAGCUGAAGAUCCCGCAGGAGGGUGCUGUGGAUUGAAAUGUUGUGGAGGUUUCUAAAGUCUCUGUCCGAAACCAUGAUGCUUGUAGAGGAAAAAAACAUGUGAAA